ACCUUUCCAGGAUCCCAAGGUGGAAAUUCAUUGAGGAAACAUCAGAAUGUCGAAUUGAGUGCUUUGAGCUUAGACUCAUAUACCAUGUAAUCAUAGCCCUGGACUAAUAGGUUUCCCCCCUUGAUUACAGAUAAAUGAGAACAGUGACAAUGGACCAGAUACAAUAACACUUCAAGAUCAACUGCAAACCAUCAAGACCACUAGCUUGAAGAAACCACAAGGGUUGGUGAAAACAAAGAUUUCUUAUGGUACUCCACAAAAACGUAUUGUUCCUAUGCAUCAGAAAAUGACAUUUCCAUCACUGAUGGAAAAAGGCCAAGACAAGGCAGCUCAAAAAUCCGAGGGCAGAUUAGCGAAAACUAAAUCACCAAACAACUAGGGAGACUACGAGGGGUAGCAUCAAGUAGGAAGAAGCCUGCUCAAAUCAGUGCAAUAAAGGAAAAUGCCCAGAUCAUAAUGAGAAAGGAACUUUGUUAGCAAAGAAGGCGUCAUCUCAGUGAAGAAAGCAUCAUUCCAAAAGAGCCAAACAUUCACAGCCUUCAUGCGCCGAAAAGCUGCCAAAGAAGAGAGUAGCAUAAUGCACGUGUAUCAUAAUCGUUUCGAUCAUUAGCCACCCUUUUUCUUUAAACAUUUUUUAUUUGCUUGCUUGAAUUAAUUUAAUAGCAUUAUUGAGGGAAUUCCAAGUUCCUUUCUAAGUUAUUGUAUUUAAGCUGUAACAUUUGUGCCACAAGAAUGAUAUAUGAUGAAUUCAUUUACAAGAUGCAAAGUUUCAAGAUUUUGUUUGAAU